CCUUACCUACCCUUGACAUGGUCGGAAUCCUGAAGAGAUUCGGGAGUGCUCGAAAGAGAACCGGCGCACAGGUGCUGCAUGGCUGUCGUCAGCUCGUGUCGUGAGAUGUUGGGUUAAGUCCCGCAACGAGCGCAACCCUUGUCCUUAGUUGCUACGCAAGAGCACUCUAAGGAGACUGCCGGUGACAAACCGGAGGAAGGUGGGGAUGACGUCAAGUCCUCAUGGCCCUUAUGGGUAGGGCUUCACACGUCAUACAAUGGUCGGAACAGAGGGUUGCCAACCCGCGAGGGGGAGCUAAUCCCAGAAAACCGAUCGUAGUCCGGAUUGCACUCUGCAACUCGAGUGCAUGAAGCUGGAAUCGCUAGUAAUCGCGGAUCAGCAUCCC
rnacentral:rRNA from 1 species